rnacentral:rRNA from 1 species
UACGUAGGGUGCAAGCGUUGUCCGGAAUUAUUGGGCGUAAAGAGCUUGUAGGCGGUUUGUCGCGUCUGCUGUGAAAUUUCGGGGCUCAACCCCGAACUUGCAGUGGGUACGGGCAGACUAGAGUGUGGUAGGGGAGACUGGAAUUCCUGGUGUAGCGGUGAAAUGCGCAGAUAUCAGGAGGAACACCGAUGGCGAAGGCAGGUCUCUGGGCCAUAACUGACGCUGAGCAGCGAAAGCAUGGGGAGCGAACAGG